GAUGAACGCUAGCGGCAGGCCUAAUACAUGCAAGUCGGACGGGAUUUAGGAGCUUGCUUCUAAUGAGAGUGGCGCACGGGUGCGUAACACGUAUGUAACCUACCUUCGUCAGGGGGAUAGCCUCUCGAAAGAGAGAUUAAGACCGCAUAACAUUAUUGAAUAGCAUUAUUUAAUAAUCAAAUAUUUAUAGGACGAAGAUGGGCAUGCGGAACAUUAGCUAGNGGUAAGGUAACGGCUUACCAAGGCUACGAUGUUUAGGGGAUCUGAGAGGGAUCGGGCCCCCCACACUGGUACUGAGACACCGGACCAGACUCCUACGGGAGGCAGCAGUAAGGAAUAUUGGUCAAUGGGCGGAAGCCUGAACCAGCCAUGCCGCCGUG
rnacentral:rRNA from 1 species